GAGAAGCAUUUGCAUGCAGAGUUGGGGAUGGGGCACAGAGGGGAGAGACGAGAACAGUCAGUCGGUGGGGUGCAGUCUGGAAGAGUGCUGUCUAGGAACACAGAAGUAAUUAGCAGGAGAAACAGCUGCAGGAUUUAAGAUUGGAUUUUCCGAGAGGAUGAAAUUGGUUUUGAAGUAAAGGUGGAUCCAGCUUUUGUGUUUGACCUUUACCCUGUGGAAUAACUUGAUUUUUCUAAGCUGCAAGCUGUUCGAAACCUCUUUUAGCCCAUCAGUGGUUUGUUUCAUUUUGUUUUGAGAUGGGCUUUCACUGUGGCGACCCAUGCUCUUGGCCUCCGUGGAACAGCUCCGGCCUUAGCCUCUCAAGUGCUCGGAUUACAACAUGUACCACACCAGGCCCAUCUGCCAGACUUGGAGUAAAUCACCAAGUCUUAGGAGCCCUGACACAGAUGCCAUCUGCCACAGGCAUCUUCCCUUCUGCCUUUGUCCUUCCCGGCUGAGCUCCAGAUUGUAGAAGACAUCUAAGGUUCCAGUAUGACUCCAUCCAUGGCAAAUUCAAUGGCACAGUCAAGGCCGAGAAUGGGAAGCUUGUCAUCAACAGGAAGCCCAUCACCAUCUUCCAGGAGCGAGACCCCUCUAACAUCAAAUGGGACGAUGCUGGUACUGAGUAUGUCAUGGAGUCUACUGGCAUCUUCACCACCAUGGGGAAGGCCGGGGGCCCACUUGAAGGGUGGAGCCAAAAGGGUCAUCAUCUCCGCCCCUUCUGCCGAUGCCCCCAUGUUUGUGAUGGGUGUGAACCAGGAGAAAUAUGACAUUUCACUCAAGGUUGUCAGCACUGCAUCCUGCACCACCAACUGCUUAGCCCCCCUGGCCAAGGUCAUCCAUGACAACUUUGGCAUUGUGGAAGGGCUCAUGACCAUGGUCCAUGCCAUCACUGCCACUCAGGAGACCGUGAAUGGCCCCUCUGGAAAGCUGUGGUGUGAUGGCCAUGGGGCUGCCCAAAACAUCAUCCCUGCAUCCACUGGUGCUGCCAAGGCUGUGGGCAAGGUCAUCCCAGAGCUGAAUGGGAAGCUCACUGGCAUCACCUUCCAUGUUUCUACCCCCAAUAUGUCUACUGUGGAUCUGACACGCUGCCUGGAGAAACCUGCCAAGUAUGAUGACUAGAAGGCAGUGAAGCAGGCAUCUGAGGGCCCACUGAAGGACAUCCUGGGCUAAAUUGAUGACCAGGUUGUCUCCUGUAACUUCAACAGCAACUCACACUCUUCCACCUUUGAUGCUGGGGCUGGCAUUGCUCUCAAUGAUAACUUUGUAAAGCUCAUUUCCUGGUAUGACAGUGAAUAUGGCUACAGCAACAGGGUGAUGGACCUCAUGGCCUAUGUGGCCUCCAAGGAGUAAGAAACCCUGGACCACCCACCCUAGCAAGGACACUGAGAGCAAGAGAGAGGCCCUCAGUUGCUGAGGAGUCCAUAUCCCAACUAGGGGCACCCAACACUGAGCAUCUCCCUCACAGUUUCCAUCCCAGACCCCCAUAAUAACAGGAGGGGCCUAGGAGCCCUCCCUACUCUCUUGAAUGCCAUCAAUAAAGUUCACUGCAACCCACCC